AAAGAAAUAUAGUUAAUGAAUAGUAGAGAUUUUUAUUUAUUUUUGUGUUGAGCUAAGAACAGUGUUGGUUUGUUUAUGGUUAUUUUAAGGUAAGUGGUGUGAGUGUGUGGAAACAGAAGGAAGGAAAAGAAAGAAGAAGAAAAGGAGAUGGAUGGGGUGGGUUUUGAAAAGAAAGAUAGAGUGCAGAGAAAGAAAAGGGAAGAAGAAGAAGAAGAAGA
rnacentral:lncRNA from 1 species